UCCAGACUCCUACGGGAGGCAGCAGUGGGGAUAUUGCACAAUGGGGGAAACCCUGAUGCAGCGACGCCGCGUGAGUGAAGAAGUAAUUCGUUACGUAAAGCUCUAUCAGCAGGGAAGAAAAUGACAGUACCUGACUAAGAAGCCCCGGCUAACUACGUGCCAGCAGCCGCGGUAAUACGUAGGGGGCAAGCGUUAUCCGGAUUUACUGGGUGUAAAGGGAGCGUAGACGGCUGCGCAAGUCAGAAGUGAAAGCCCGGGGCUCAACCGUGGGACUGCUUUUGAAACUGUAUAGCUAGAGUGCAGGAGAGGUAAGUGGAAUUCCUAGUGUAGCGGUGAAAUGCGUAGAUAUUAGGAGGAACACCGGUGGCGAAGGCGGCUUACUGGACUGUAACUGACGUUGAGGCUCGAAAGCGUGGGGAGCAAACAGGAUUAGAUACCCCAGUAA
rnacentral:rRNA from 1 species